GGACAUGUGACGCAGAGAGGAAAUGCAUCGGUCUGUAAAACCGACGGCGCUAUGCCAUCGCUGGUUCGAAUCCAGCCAUGUCCA
rnacentral:tRNA from 1 species